rnacentral:rRNA from 1 species
UGGGGAAUAUUGGACAAUGGGGGCAACCCUGAUCCAGCAAUGCCGCGUGUGUGAAGAAGGUCUUCGGAUUGUAAAGCACUUUCGACGGGGACGAUGAUGACGGUACCCGUAGAAGAAGCCCCGGCUAACUUCGUGCCAGCAGCCGCGGUAAUACGAAGGGGGCUAGCGUUGCUCGGAAUGACUGGGCGUAAAGGGCGUGUAGGCGGUUUACACAGUCAGAUGUGAAAUCCCCGGGCUUAACCUGGGAGCUGCAUUUGAUACGUGUAGACUAGAGUGUGAGAGAGGGUUGUGGAAUUCCCAGUGUAGAGGUGAAAUUCGUAGAUAUUGGGAAGAACACCGGUGGCGAAGGCGGCAACCUGGCUCAUGACUGACGCUGAGGCGCGAAAGCGUGGGGAGCAAACAGGAUUAGAUACCCUGGUAGUCCGCNCUGUAAACGAUGUGUGCUAGAUGUUGGGUAACUUUGUUAUUCAGUGUCGCAGU